CCUACGGGUGGCUGCAGUGGGGAAUAUUGCACAAUGGGGGAAACCCUGAUGCAGCGACGCCGCGUGAGUGAAGAAGUACUUCGUUACGUAAAGCUCUAUCAGCAGGGAAGAAACACUGACCUUACGGUCAGCAGACGGUACCUGAUUAAGAAGCCCCGGCUAACUACGUGCCAGCAGCCGCGGUAAUACGUAGGGGGCACGCGUUAUCCGGAUUUACUGGGUGUAAAGGGAGCGUAGACGGUGCGCCAAGUCUGGAGUGAAAUGCCGCAGCUUAACUGCGGAACUGCUUUGGAAACUGGCGAACGAGAGGGCGGGAGUGGUAAGCGGAAUGCGUGGUGUAGCGGUGAAAUGCGUAGAUAUUAGGAGGAACACCGGUGGCGAAGGCGGCUUACUGGACCGUAACUGACGUUGAGGCUCGAAAGCGUGGGGAGCAAACAGGAUUAGAUACCCUAGUAGUC
rnacentral:rRNA from 1 species